GUUGGAGGUGUGCAAGAAUGAGGAAAGAAAUCAAGCAAGAAGUUUAUGAAGCUCAUCCUUGGAAACUUACGUUAAAGAAAAAUGUGGAACCCUCCAUUAAAAUAAGAGAGUAAAAGCUAAAUAGAGAAAAAGAAAUGAUUAAAAUCGUAUCCAUUGAGCAAGGUUGUAAAAAUUAAAAGGGGUGCUCAACAAGAUAUACCAAAAUUUUUGUGUGAUUGAAUAGGCCAAGGAUGAAUCGUAAAAUAUUAAAAGGAUGAAAGAGAAAAAGAAGAAGUGAAAUUUGAGCAAUGCUUCAACAAGGUUCAGGUUCUCAGUAUCCAGAUCACGCUUAGAUCGAUUCCCUAUCUCCAGCUCAGCAAAAUCUGUGGUGCAGGUCCUUGAAGAAGAUUGAAGAUCAGUUGAAGCGGUUUGGACUAGUACCUCCAGAAUUGGUAGGUCCUCUUGAGUUCGAGGAUGUGGCUUUAUAUUCUAGCUUUACAUAGCUAGUGGAUUUUGUCC